GGGUUUAGUUCCAAGAUUGAGCUUAUGCAGUAAGCAAGCUCCGAGAGGAUAUAAUUUAUUUGAUAAAGGUAUGAAGUAUAAUCCAUUGGCUAAGAGAUUGGUAGACUUAAACAAGGAAGGGAAGAUUAAGUAGUUCUAAAUGGAGGCCUACUAUAUACCAAACAAUUAUAAAUCUUUCUUCCAAAGUGGAGAAACCUAGAACGUUGCAUUUGAGCAUUGAUAGAGGUAGGUU
rnacentral:lncRNA from 1 species